rnacentral:lncRNA from 1 species
CUUGUAGCGGAGUCUUUUUUUUUACUGCAGCUUGCAGUUUGUUGUUGUUUUUGGGUGUUUGGGUCAUUGUUGUUUUGUGUUGUAGCACAUCGUGCUUCUUGUUUUUGUUCACUCAUCUUUGAAACCCUAACCCAUCCUGUUUCUUGGUUUGUUUUCUCUCGAUUGUCCUUUCAAUGGCUGAGAUUAUUCUUGACUCCAUGAGUAAGCCUUCUGGUUCUGGGUCUCUAGCAGUUACUGGUAAGAGUUUGUGUUCCCGAUCUCUUACUGUUUGUGGUA